rnacentral:rRNA from 1 species
GACGAACGCUGGCGGCGUGCUUAACACAUGCAAGUCGAACGCUGAAGCACCGCUUGCGGUGUGGAUGAGUGGCGAACGGGUGAGUAACACGUGGGUGAUCUGCCCUGCACUUCGGGAUAAGCUUGGGAAACUGGGUCUAAUACCGGAUAUGACACUGCUUUGUUGUGGUGUGGAAAGCUUUUGCGGUGUGGGAUGAGCCUGCGGCCUAUCAGCUUGUUGGUGGGGUAAUGGCCUACCAAGGCGUCGACGGGUAGCCGGCCUGAGAGGGUGUACGGCCACAUUGGGACUGAGACACGGCCCAGACUCCUACGGGAGGCAGCAGUGGGGAAUAUUGCACAAUGGGCGAAAGCCUGAUGCAGCGACGCCGCGUGGGGGAUGAAGGCCUUCGGGUUGUAAACUCCUUUCGCUAGGGACGAAGAUGU